GAUGGCGACCGGCGCACGGGUGAGGUAACGCGUAUCCAACCUUCCCAUGUCCACGGGAUAGCCCGUCGAAAGGCGGAUUAAUACCGUAUGAGGUCACAUGCGGGCAUCUAAGUGUGACGAAAGGUUUUGCGGACAUGGAUGGGGGAUGCGUCCGAUUAGCUGGUUGGCGGGUAACGGCCCACCAAGGCGACGAUCGGUAGGGGUUCUGAGAGGAAGGUCCCCCACAUUGGAACUGAGACACGGUCCAAACUCCUACGGGAGGCAGCAGUGAGGAAUAUUGGUCAAUGGGCGAGAGCCUGAACCAGCCAAGUAGCGUGCAGGACGACGGCCCUAUGGGUUGUAAACUGCUUUUAUAAGGGAAUAAAGUGAGUCUCGUGAGACUUUUUGCAUGUACCUUAUGAAUAAGGACCGGCUAAUUCCGUG
rnacentral:rRNA from 1 species